CUCCCCCGUUGCUGACCCCGGGUUCGAUAGCGCCAAUUAGGCGCCACCUCGCCAAGAACCAACUUCGGUGAAGCGACGGGCGGUGUGUGCAAGGAGCAGGGACG
rnacentral:rRNA from 1 species